GAUGAACGCUGGCGGCGUGCCUAAUACAUGCAAGUCGAGCGAAUGGAUUAAGAGCUUGCUCUUAUGAAGUUAGCGGCGGACGGGUGAGUAACACGUGGGUAACCUGCCCAUAAGACUGGGAUAACUCCGGGAAACCGGGGCUAAUACCGGAUAACAUUUUGAACCGCAUGGUUCGAAAUUGAAAGGCGGCUUCGGCUGUCACUUAUGGAUGGACCCGCGUCGCAUUAGCUAGUUGGUGAGGUAACGGCUCACCAAGGCAACGAUGCGUAGCCGACCUGAGAGGGUGAUCGGCCACGCUGGGACUGAGACACGGCCCAGACUCCUACGGGAGGCAGCAGUAGGGAAUCUUCCGCAAUGGACGAAAGUCUGACGGAGCAACGCCGCGUGAGUGAUGAAGGCUUUCGGGUCGUAAAACUCUGUUGUUAGGGAAGAACAAGUGCUAGUUGAAUAAGCUGGCACCUUGACGGUACCUAACCAGAAAGCCACGGCUAACUACGUGCCAGCAGCAGCCGCGG
rnacentral:rRNA from 1 species